GACUGACUAGCUCAGUUGGUUAGACCAUGGUGCCAAUAACACCAAGGUUGCAAGUUUGAGCCCUGUAUGGGAUCG